UACGGAGGGUGCGAGCGUUGUCCGGAAUUACUGGGCGUAAAGGGCGCGUAGGCGGCCUGCUAAGUCGAACGUGAAAUCCCCGGGCUCAACCCGGGAACUGCGUCCGAUACUGGCAGGCUUGAAUUCGGGAGAGGGAUGUGGAAUUCCAGGUGUAGCGGUGAAAUGCGUAGAUAUCUGGAGGAACACCGGUGGCGAAGGCGGCAUCCUGGACCGAUAUUGACGCUGAUGCGCGAAAGCCAGGGGAGCAAACGGG
rnacentral:rRNA from 1 species